rnacentral:rRNA from 1 species
GGGGAAUUUUCCGCAAUGGGCGAAAGCCUGACGGAGGGCAAAAGGACCGCGUUGGAGGGGGAGGAAGGCUCUUGGGUUGUAAACCUCUUUUCUCAGGGAAGAAGCUCUGACGGUACCUGAGGAAUCAGCCUCGGCUAACUCCGUGCCAGCAGCCGCGGUAAUACGGAGGAGGCAAGCGUUAUCCGGAAUUAUUGGGCGUAAAGCAUCCGCAGGUGGCGAUUCAAGUCUGCUGUCAAAGCACGGGGCUUAACUCCGUUAAGGCAGUGGAAACUGAAUAGCUAGAGUGCCGUAGGGGUAGAGGGAAUUCCCGGUGUAGCGGUGAAAUGCGUAGAGAUCGGGAAGAACAUCGGUGGCGAAAGCGCUCUACUGGACGGCAACUGACACUCAGGGACGAAAGCUAGGGGAAGCGAAUGGGAUUAGAUACCCCAGUAGUC